rnacentral:rRNA from 1 species
AACGAACGCUGGCGGCAUGCCUAACACAUGCAAGUCGAACGAGACCUUCGGGUCUAGUGGCGCACGGGUGCGUAACGCGUGGGAACCUGCCCUUAGGUUCGGAAUAACUCCCCGAAAGGGGUGCUAAUACCGGAUAAUGUCUUCGGACCAAAGAUUUAUCGCCUUUGGAUGGGCCCGCGUUGGAUUAGCUAGUUGGUAGGGUAAAAGCCUACCAAGGCGACGAUCCGUAGCUGGUCUGAGAGGAUGAUCAGCCACACUGGGACUGAGACACGGCCCAGACUCCUACGGGAGGCAGCAGGGGGGAAGAGUGGACAAUGGGCGAAAGCCUGAUCCAGCAAUGCCGCGUGAGUGAGGAAGGCCUUAGGGGUGGAAAGCUCUUUUACCCGGGAUGAUAAUGACAGUACCGGGAGAAUAAGCUCCGGCUAACUCCGUGC